rnacentral:rRNA from 1 species
AUUGAACGCUGGCGGCAGGCCUAACACAUGCAAGUCGAACGAGUGGCGGACGGGUGAGUAAUGUCUGGGAAACUGCCUGAUGGAGGGGGAUAACUACUGGAAACGGUAGAUAAUACCGCAUACCAUCGGAUGUGCCCAGAUGGGAUGAGCUAGUAGGUGGGGUAAAGGCUAACCUAGGCGACGAUCCCUAUCUGGUCUGAGCGGAUGACCAGCCACACUGGAACUGAGACACGGUACUGACUCCUACGUGAGGCAGCAUUGGGGAAUAUUGCAAAAUGAGCGCAAGCCUGAUGCAGCCAUGCCGCGUGUAUGAAGAAGGCCUUCGGGUUGUAACGUACUUUCAGCGGGGAGGCGUUACCCGCAGAAGAAGCACCGGCUAACUCCGUGCCAGCAGCCGCGGUAAUUC